rnacentral:lncRNA from 1 species
UUUUUUUUUCUUUUUUUGUAUAGGAUGGAGGCUUUAAAAACCUGCCAGCCCCUCCAUUCUCCCUUCACCCACCCAUAACUGCCAAUAUAAUAAAUUCUUUGCUCAACUCCAUGUUUCUGAGAGUUAAAGGAGAAAGAAUCAAUUCUUGGGGAUAAAAAGAUCAAACUUUGAAUCCAAAACCUACAAUACAACUCCAGGAAAUAGAGCUGCAUACCUUCUAAAUAGCAAUAGCAAUUAUAAAAACAGAGUAAUAGGGCCGCCUGAGUGGCUCACUCGCUUAAGCAUCUGCCUUCAGCUGAGAUCAUGAUCCCAAUUCCUGGGACUAAGUACCACCAGAGUUGGGCUCCUUGCUCAGGGGGAGCCUGCUUCUCCCUCUGUCUGCUGUUCCCCUUGCUUGUGCUCUCUGUCUCUCUCUCUGACAAACAAACAAAUAAAUAAAAAAAAAGAAUAAAAAAAAACAGAAUAAUGGCUAAUAAUCAUUGAGAUUGUACAUACUAUGCAUCAAGCAAUAUAAUUUGCCAGUAAUGAAAAAAAAAAAAAUUUGCCAGUAAUGAAAGACACCUCAGGUGAUUUUCAAAAUAACUUCCUGAAGUAGAUACUAUUGUCAUACUCAUUUUGCGGAUGGAGGAACGAAGUCUCACAGCAAAAUAAUGUAUGCAAAAUGGCAAUGCUGUAAGUGACAAAGAUUUGAAGUCAAAGGACCUGAGAAAUAAACUUAGAGCUUCAAUGGCCAAGCUACAAAGCUCUCAAUCUGAAGGCCAAAGGUCAUCUUUAAUAUUUAAAAAAUCUAAAUGAAACAACCAUUCACCUACAAGUUAACUUAAAAUUGUAGGGGUGCUUUUGCCUUUAGUUGAACUUAUGUCAAUUCAGUAUGGGUAGCAUAUGCUGUUAUAAUUACAAUUCUUGGUUAAAAAUGGGGAAGCAAAUUAUAAUAAUGCCUUGAGGAAAAAUAUUUUUGUAAUAUGGAAUUCACAGUGGAAAAACAAUUUGAUCCUCUGUGUGAAAAUCUGGGGAGACAAUGGACAAAUGAUCUCAAUGACAUGUGAUGGAUCUAGCAAUAUCCGAUUCUCUGCCAAAUAAAUGCUCUACUCCAGAAAUAUGUCUGCUCCACCCUCACUCUGAUCCCUCCCUCCUUCCCUCCAAAUCUCACACUCAUCACCCACCAGCUGCUUUCUAUUAUCACCAGCAGGCCUAGGAAACUCUGAGAUUAGCUCUCAGUAGGAUGAGCUGACUACAGGCAGCUGACAUUGACUCAACAUUCUUUUCUGUGAAUCCUAGGCAAUUCUCUCUCUCAUUUACCUGGUUUCUUUCUCUCUUUUUUUUUUUUUCCUGAUUCUCCUGGUUACUUGCUGACUGACUUAUUAACCUUUUGUUCAAACACUUCCUGGUGGUUGCUUAGUGCAGGUCCCUGAAUCUGCAUCCCAGCCCCGCUCUCUGGGAUCUGGAGCAUUCUGACUCCACCAGUAUGCACAUGUUUGUGUCUCACAAGUGCCCUGUUUUCCCCAUUCUGCUUCCUUGUUAGUUCCACUUGAGCUGCUAUAAGCCACACCCUACCAAAUGAUCACUAUAUUAUAGCUGAUUUGGGGUUGGGGCACAGUCCACAAAAUGCUAUGGGCAGCCUGUGAACAAGAAGUAUAGUUAUCACAGCCAGUGUAUAAAAUAAUGACCUCUGUGCUGUAUGGCUAGUUGCCCACUCAAAAUCCUAAAGGAUAUUAUACAGCUAACCUCACAACCUCCCCAACUCCAACUCCCUGAAUAAAAUAACUUACGACUCAUUUCCUUGGAAUCUUCUUAAGUUAUUUUUAUUUGCUAUAUUAUGACAUUAUCAAAUCAUCAAUAACUCUUAACUCUUUCUUAUUCCCCAUUUUACUGGCUUUGGGUACAUUUGCUUAUUCUUCAAGAUAUCCCUAGCCCUAUGAGUUUUAAAACCUUGACUAGUUUGAAUAGUCUCAUAGCACUUAGUGUGGUCUCAAAUGUUCAUUCAUUAAGACUUAAUGUAGUCCAGAGGCAACUGGGUGGCUCAGUUGGUUAAGCGUAUGCCUUUGGCUCAGGGUAUGAUCCCAGGAUC